UUGUAAACAAAAUAACUACUUCAGAUGGACCAGAAGAGAGAAAGGACUGUUGCAGGUUGCUGAAGAUAACCUUGACUGUGUUUUUUAAGAUAAUUGACAAUAGGCUCCCAUGGAAGUCUUCUCUGCAUUUCUGCAAAAAUUUAGGAAACAUUAGGUUUGACACCAUCAUCAUGUUUCACAAGGCAGCAAAAAUCCCAGCCGGCAAAGCUCCAAGUGUGAUGAAGUGGAACAGCAAGGACAGCACGGAAUGACUGAUCAUUUCCGAAUGUCGGCUAGCGAGAGUUUCCAAUGUGGGAGUUUUCCAUUGUUUUUGAAGCAGGAGAAAUAGGGACUGGCUGCUUUGGAAGAAACAUGCUGUGGUGAUGUCGGUAGGGUUUCCUCUUCUUUCUUUUCUACCUGUCCUUUCUGCUCUCAAGUGGUUCCUUGAAGAUAAAAUUAUUUUGUAAUACUUUCAUUUAUUACCAACAAAACUUUUUUAUAUUCAGUAAGUUGAAAUUGUAUAGAACAAUCGAUGUCUGAUUUAUUACUAUUACUGAUGUUCAGGGCACACUGUGGCCACAGGAGAGGUAGCGCCAAUUCUAUAGGAGAAUCAGGCAAAGCUUCCUAGGUGAUGUAACCUUUGAGCUGAGUCUUGACUUAUACACAAGGAUUAGUUGGAUAAAUGGGCAGCAUAGGAGGGAAUGCCCUUCUAGGGAGAAUUAACAUGUUAGAGGAACCCCUGCCUACCAGGCCUCUGGCUUAAUACAACAUAACCUGAAUGAUUCCAUCUUGAAGUGAGUAGCGAGGCACUCACAAGGUGAAUACUUAUGGUCUGAAAAUAGCCACAUUCUAAGCUGACCAUCAAUUAUAAUUACAGAAUAUUUAUGGUCAUACAGAACAUCUCCCACCAAGUCUGCAGAAUGUCCUAAGAAUACAGCUCACUUUACUUAAGUAAAGUGUUAAUGAGUGUUGCUGAGUUAAUUACUGUUAAUGGGUGGACUUAGGUUGAAGGAUUAGUAGUCAUCUAUGACACCAAUAGCCUCUACCUUUAAAGAGCACAUCUGCAUGUUCCAAGUUUAAAUCUAGCCUCUUGUAGUUUCUAGUAAGUAGAGUCACUAACAAAGGAUGGCGUGCUCCUCCUCCUGUUUUCUGAAGAUGCCCUACUCUGUAAUAGAGUAGUUUCCAAUAAACACAAUUCUUUUACUGUGCUCUGUGACUUGCCUUGAAUUCUUUUCUGCAUGAGAUCCAAGAACCUGCUCUUGGGAUCUGUAUUGGGACCGUUUCUUCGGGCAACAGAGUUAUGAAAGUAUCUGCUAUGUUCAGAAAACUAGAUGCAAUUUAGUAGAGGUUGAAAUACAGUUUG
rnacentral:lncRNA from 1 species